rnacentral:rRNA from 1 species
GUGGGGAAUAUUGGACAAUGGGGGGAACCCUGAUCCAGCCAUGCCGCGUGUGUGAAGAAGGCCUUUUGGUUGUAAAGCACUUUAAGCGAGGAGGAGGCUACUCUAGUUAAUACCUAGGGAUAGUGGACGUUACUCGCAGAAUAAGCACCGGCUAACUCUGUGCCAGCAGCCGCGGUAAUACAGAGGGUGCGAGCGUUAAUCGGAUUUACUGGGCGUAAAGCGUGCGUAGGCGGCUUUUUACGUCGGAUGUGAAAUCACUGAGCUUAACUUAGGAAUUGCAUUCGAUACUGGGAAGCUAGAGUAUGGGAGAGGAUGGUAGAAUUCCAGGUGUAGCGGUGAAAUGCGUAGAGAUCUGGAGGAAUACCGAUGGCGAAGGCAGCCAUCUGGCUUAAUACUGACGCUGAGGUACGAAAGCAUGGGGAGCAAACAGGAUUAGAAACCCCAGUAGUCC